GGCCAGCAGCCGCGGUAAUACGUAGGUGGCAAGCGUUAUCCGGAAUUAUUGGGCGUAAAGCGCGCGCAGGCGGUCUCUUAAGUCUGAUGUGAAAGCCCACGGCUCAACCGUGGAGGGUCAUUGGAAACUGGGAGACUUGAGUGCAGGAGAGAAAAGUGGAAUUCCACGUGUAGCGGUGAAAUGCGUAGAGAUGUGGAGGAACACCAGUGGCGAAGGCGGCUUUUUGGCCUGUAACUGACGCUGAGGCGCGAAAGCGUGGGGAGCAAACAGGAUUAGAUACCCUGGUAGUCCACGCCGUAAACGAUGAGUGCUAGGUGUUGGGGGGUUCCACCCUCAGUGCUGAAGUUAACACAUUAAGCACUCCGCCUGGGGAGUACGACCGCAAGGUUGAAACUCAAAGGAAUUGACGGGGGCCCGCACAAGU
rnacentral:rRNA from 1 species